GGGAGUAUAGCUCAGUGGUAGAGCGCAUGCUUAGCAUGCACAAGGUCCUGCGUUCAAUCUCCAGUACCUCCA
rnacentral:tRNA from 1 species